UAGAAUUAUUUAUUGGUUGUAGCUGGCUCUUCGGGGCAUGUGCACGCUCUGUUAACACAUCCACUCACACCCUGUGCACCCUCUGUAGUUCUAUGGUUGGGGGGACCUGUCCUCUCCUGCUGUAGUUCUGCAUCUUUACAUACACACUGUAACAAAGUCUUAUGGAAUGCAUGCCGCGUUUAACGCAAUAAAAUA
rnacentral:misc_RNA from 1 species